rnacentral:rRNA from 1 species
UACGUAGGGUGCAAGCGUUAAUCGGAAUUACUGGGCGUAAAGCGUGCGCAGGCGGCUAUGCAAGACAGAUGUGAAAUCCCCGGGCUCAACCUGGGAACUGCAUUUGUGACUGCAUGGCUAGAGUACGGUAGAGGAGACUGGAAUUCCUGGUGUAGCAGUGAAAUGCGUAGAUAUCAGGAGGAAUACCGAUGGCGAAGGCAGGUCUCUGGGCUGAUACUGACGCUCAUGCACGAAAGCGUGGGGAGCAAACAGG